rnacentral:rRNA from 1 species
GAUGCAGGCGGUGAAGUUAGUCGGGUGUGAAAGCCCAGGGCCCAACCCUGGAACUGCACUCGAAACUGCUUCACUAGAGUCCCGGAGGGGAAGGCGGAAUUCCCGGUGUAGAGGUGAAAUUCGUAGAUAUCGGGAGGAACACCAGUGGCGAAGGCGGCCUUCUGGACGGUGACUGACGCUCAGAUCCGAAAGCGUGGGGAGCAAACAGGAUUAGAUACCCUGGUAGUCC